GAAUUGAAUUAUGUGAAACAACGCUUAUACUCUAAGCUACCGUUUGGUUCGGGGUUAAGAAAAAACUAGUUAUUCCAGGGAUAGGAUUAAGUUUAGGGUUAAGGUGGGGUUAUUUUUGUGUUUGGUUGAGAAUUAGAAUUAGUUCAGGAUAGUGAAAAAUAGUGUUUGGUUGGAGUAGGUGGGAUAAGAAGGAUAGUGAGUUAUUAUGAAUAGAAAAUAGUGUUUGGUUGGGCUUUGAUGGGAUUAGCUAACCCGGGAUAAUCUAUUUUUAGAAGUGUUUGGGAAUAAAAUGGGCCUUUACGUCUGAGCUCGAGACUUUUUAAUCGGCCUAUGACGUGGGCUUGAAUUAAAUGAGAGAAAAUUAAUAUGCUAGGAGCCUGGCGUGAUUCGAACUCAGAAUAUCCUGCUCUGAUACCAUGAUACCAUGUAAAACAACCGCUGUACUCUAAAAACUUAAUCUGUUAGAGAACGGUGUUUAAAUAUUUUUAUAUUUAACAAAUUAUGUAUAUUUUUAUUAUGAGAAAGGAUUAUUCAAGCGUAUGCAACUAAAAACAAACAUCAGUGUCGAGAAUUUUUUUUUUAAUUACAUAAUUCUGGUAUGGGAAGUUUGAAAUUUUAUUAAAUAUAUCUUAAUUAAUUUAGGAAAAAAAUAAAAAUAGUUAUGUGUUUAUACGAUAGAGCCACUAAAUAUUGUAAACUUAUAAAUUAAAAAUAGAAAUUGAAAAAAAUAUCAAUAAAGCAAGGUAAAAAUAUACAGAACUUAUCUAAAUUAUGGACUAUUUUGAAUCGGCUAUUUAACUUUUCAAUUUGUUUGAUUUAAAUCAGUCAACGAUAUUUUGAUUUUAAUGUUUAAAUUAAUUAUUUACAUUAAUAAAUUAUAUAAAGUAUACAAUUAAAAAUUUGAAUUCAAAGUGCCGAUGACUGACUCAAAUAAAAUAAAUUAAAAUAUCGAAUAGAAAAUUAAAAUUUUGAAAAAUUGAAUAACCAAUUUAAAAUAGUUCAUAAUUCAAAUGAGUUCUAUAUAGUUUUAGCAUAAAAAAAUUAGGAUCUGUUCUCAAAUGGCCAAUAGUUGAGGGGGUCUUCAUUCAUUUUCCAAAGAUUCUUAACGCCGUUAAGUUGCUGACACGAGGCAUAACGACCGUGGGCCCGGUGUACGGCCCAAAUUUAAAAUAUUCCUCGCGGGGCCCACCAUGGGUGAGACGUGCGAAUUUGUAGGGGACGCGUGAGAUCAAAUCUCCACCGUCCAUCAUCAAUUUCUCCUAUUAGUUUUUUGUUACGUCGUGAUAGUCAACUAUUUGAACUCAUCGCGUUACCCCCCACAGUUGCGAAAAAUCUCAACCGUUCAUCACAUGAUUUUGCGGACGAGUCCAUCGUGCUUAGAAUGGGUAAAAAAUGCAUAGAGGCCCCUCAACUUGUACUUCUUUAGAAUUGGGUAAUUUUCGUAAACAAAAUUUGAAAACUAUAUAAAAUUUAUCGCUGAUUUCGCCAAAUUUAAUAAUUUUAAUUAUUUUUUAGUAAAUAAAACUGGGUCACUAAAUUUCAUAAAAUUUUUAGCUUAGGUAAGUAUAAAAUCUCAAAUAGAAAAAAAGGUAAACAUGUAUAAAACUUGCCUGAAUUAUAUAUCAUUCUGUUUCGGCUAUACCAAAUCUUAUUAAAUUUUUUUAUUUUGGUACAUAAUUUUAAAUUAUUUAAUUUAAUUUUUUUGAUGAUUCUUUCGGUACAAAAUUUAAGCUAAUCAUUUAUUUUAAUAAUAUAUAUUAAUCAAGUACGUAAAGGUAAACGAUGCAUUCAAGUUUUGAAAUUAAAAAGUCAUUGUAUAGCUGACUCAAAAUAAUAAAUUAAAAAGAUAGAAAAUAAAGUAAAAAAUUUAAAGAUUAGAUAGUUAUAUCAAAUUGAUGAUAGUGGAGGUAACUUUUAUACAUUUUUAUCCAAAAAUGUGAAAAAAAAGUUGAGGGGGCCAUUUGAGAUUUUUCCCUAUAAGUCAACUCCCAUAACUAGUCACAUGUAGACAUGCAUAUUAAUAAAAAUAAAAAUAAAUACUGGACAUGAAACCCCAACUAUUGUCUCACAUAUUUAUUUUAUAAAUAAAAUGAAUAGGUUGGUUGAAUCUACUAUUGUUAUAUUAGCUGGCUAUGUGCAUUGGUUACAAUAUGAUUUUGGAACAAGAUGUUGAAAUAUAUGUGCACAUCUAGAUGUAGAUAUAAAUUAAAUUAAAUUACACAUUUGUAUAUAUAAUAAUUUGAAGCAUCAUGCAUGGUUUACUAUAUUGGAGAUUAAUACAUGUGCCGUGUAAUAAAAGAAGAGAGAAAUGUGUUCUAAACUUUUCAUUCAAGCGCUUCAGAAACUUUAUGAUGUAUAGUAAACGAAAAUGCGAAAUUUUGUACUGUGAUUUUUCGCGAAACAUUUCGUAAAUUAGGCACCUAUCUAGCUAAUCUGCAUUAUUGUUAUUUUUUUAAGGGAAUUAAUGUCACAUCAUCUUUGCUUCAAUAAUUUUGCUUAUGAAUGUCACCCUUGUGGGGUCUAUGAGUGCUGAGUACAUGCAAUAUUUUGUUGAUAUUAAAAAUGCUUAUCAGAAUCUUGUGGCAGGUGAUGACCUGCUUAAUUAACAGUUUCCAAGACUACAAAUGAGAUCAUAAAAUAAUUGUAGAAGUACACAAAAAAAGAGGAAAUUAUGUACAAAUUGAAACAGGAUUGAGAUAGCAACAUUACAUGGAUAUAUUUGUGCACUUAAGGGUGCGUUUGGUUCGCAUUAUGAAAGAUUACUAGGAAUAAAAGAUAUCUGAGAAUUUUAUUCCUAUUCAUUCUAUUACUAAGAAUGUGGAAUACCUGUGUAUGGUUCGCAUGGUAAUAUUAAUUAGCCAUGUUAUUUAAUAUUACAAAAAAUAUACAAUUAAUUAAUUAAUUUAUUUAUUUAAUUUUAAAUAAUGUUACCAAAAGUUUCAACAUCUUUUUAGAAAAAAGGAAGAGAGAGUAUAAGUUAGAGAGAGAGAACAUAAUUAAAAAAAUAGAAAGAAAAAUAUAGUCGAAAUUAGAGGGAGUGACAGAGUUGAAAUUUUAGAAAGAGAGAGAGAGAGAGAAAGCUUAGUUUAGAGAGAGAAAAAAAAAUUGAAUUUUAGAGAGAAAAAUAAGUUUAGAGAGAGAUAUAAGGUUAGAGUGUAAAGAAAAAUAAUAUCAAUUAGCCGGCGGGUAGGAAGAAAGAAAGAGAUUAGACAUAUUAUGAUUAUCCUAAUCCAUUAAUAUGAGGAUAUCCACCCUCUCUCAAGAGAAUGAGAUUAGUACUUUAGGGUGAAUCUUAUUCCCAAGUGAAUCCAAUAUUACCAACCAGAUUACUUAGUGCGUUUAGUCAAACACCGUCAUAUUUUUUUAUUCCCAUUAGAUUACUAGAAAUCUUUAAAAGAUAGUGCGAACCAAACGCACCCAAAAGUCAAUUAAGUUACUUGGAUUUGAAAUUGCCUCUUAAUUGUCUCCAUCAUAAACCAUGUAUUUGCAUCAUAUUUGAUUCUUGUAUGGAUCUCACAAGAGUCCAAUUAAUUGCUCUCAAAAGGAGUAGGUUUUAGUCUAAGUUGUGGGGCAUCCCAUGAUUUGGAUAUAAUUUGGCCUCAAGUGUGCUCAAAUAUUCAAAAGAAUACUAUUUCAUAGUUUGAAAUAGAACACCAAAUUUGGUUGUACGUAUAUAUUUAUAUUAAUUGUUAGGUAAAAUUGUCCCAUGUCUCAUAGAAUUAAACUAAAGAAUUUUAUUAGUGUAUAAAUAUAAUGGGUACAAGAGUAUCUCCGUCAAUCAGCUUAAGCUUUUGGAUUGGUUCUGUUAAUAUAUACUCUUAGGUAUCGUUUGGUUCGGGGAUAAGCAAAAAGUAGUUAUUCUAGGGAUAGGUAUAAAUUGAGGUAUAAGCGGGGAUUAGAUCAAUUUUGCGUUUGGAUGAAAAUUGAGUUAUUCCUGAGAAUAUGAAAAAUAGCGUUUGGUUAGGUAAGAUGGAAUAAGAAGGAUAGUGGGUAGUCAUAAAUAAAAAAUAAUGAUAUUACCCUCUCAUUAUAUUUGAAUUUAAAUUUUUAAAUUUUAAAUUUAAAUAUUUAUAUUUUAAAUUUUUUAAAUAAGAAUAGGGUUGGAACAAUUAAUAAAAAUAAUUUAUUAUAAUAAAAUUAUAAAUUUGAUAAAAAUAAAUAUUUUAAUAAAUUUAUAAAUUUUUUAUUAUUAAUAAAUUUAUAAUUUUUUUAAAAUUUCUACUUAAACUUAAAUUUAAUAAAAAUAAUUUAUUAUAAUAUUUAAAUAUAAAUAAUAUUAUUAAUAUAGUACAAUUAAUAAUUUUAUAACAAAAAUAUAUAACAUAUUAUAUUUAUAUAAUUUAGUUUUAAUUCAAUUCAUAAUUUUAGUUAAGUUUGAAAUUAAACAUUGGAAUAGCACUAUUCCAUCAAAAUAGUAGAAUAGCAAAUCUCAUGCUAUUCCGGAAUAGUCGGGAAUAGUAAGGUUUGACUGAGAUAAAAUAUCCCGGCCAAAAAUUAUUUUGUUUGGCGUAAUAGCAAGGAUAACUUCUGUUAUCCCUGCUUAUACCGCCAACCAAACGGACUGUAUAGGCUUAUUUCCUACGAUAUCAAUCUUUUGAAUAACAUGGCAUCAAAACUAAUUUUAAACUCCUUCGUUUUGUGAGGUUUGUGGGUACUUAAUUAACUCGUCUAUCAAUUCCAUGCGCCUUUUAUAUCUAUCAUGAUCUUUUGAGUAAAAUGGUAUCAUAACUAGUUUUAAACUUGUUAUAGUGUGCUUAAUCUCCAUCUCAACAUUUAAUGGGUUUAAUCUCCAUGUCCUAUUUUACCUAUUGAUUCUAUGCGUCUUCUAUAUCCAUCGAAUACUUUCAUAUUCAUCGUACAUGUGGGUCAGUAACCACGCGAUAGACAAAAAAAAUUUUAUAUCCAUCCAAGCCUGUUUUCUGAACUAUAUAUUGAUCUGUUGGGUAAAAAGUUUAAGCACUUAAACAUAGUAUCAGCUCAUUAACUAGGGAUGCAAACGGGGCGGAUCCGGGGGCGGGAGAGUUCCCCCACCUCCCGCUCCAUUUCUUAUCGGGGCGGGGCGGAUUCGGGGCGAGUUACUUUUCAUUUUAUUUUUGGCUCCCACUUACCGCUCCAUUCGGGGCGGAUCGGGGCGGGAGCCGGAUUUUUGACGGAUCGGGACGGAUUGAAGGAAGAAAAAAGUCUCCCACCUCCUGUUCCAUUUACUUGGCGGAUCGGGGUGGAUUCGGAGCGGGUUAUAUUUUUUUAUAUUUUUUGUUCCCACUUACCACCCCAUUUGGGGCGGAUCGGGGUGGAGCUCCACCAACCCGGAUCCAUUUGCAUCCCUAUCAUUAACCAUGUGUUAGAUGCAAACUAGUUGAAAAUUUUGUUUAAUUUUGAUGGUGUUCUCUACCUAAACCUUGAGUGUUUGGUAAUCUAUUUGCAACUUCAAAAAAAAAAAAGCCUUUUUUUCAAUUAUAUGUUGCAGCUGAGGCAACUAAUCUUUGAUUCCUUAAAUUAUUUCAGGUUUGUUUUUAGUGAUUUAGGAAGAAAUAAAAGUUGGUGGUUGGUUGGCUUGUUUCAUCAUCUUUUUUUUUUCUUUUUUUUUUUUUCAAAGGAGAAAAAAAGAUUUAGCUAUAGAACUAGUUUUGGCUCUAAUAAGUGUUUGUUACAGCAACUCAUUGUUGAUUCAUAUACAAAGAAAGAAAAGGAGUAGGUAGUACUAGAACCAAUUGAAUUGAGAAAAAUGUACACUCAAACAAUUAAUUUCAAAAAUUACUUGUUUCCUCCACAAAUAAAGAAUCAAUAAUUAAAAACAAAAGCCUUGUAAUUUAGCUUCUAAUCAAUUUUAUUCGGAGUUCGACAGUAAAAUUUGUAUAACCAACCAAGAGAAUUUCAGCAAUCUGAGGAACUCCAUUUGCUUUUUUUGGUCUCACCAGUGUCUUUAUCUUGAGGAUGCAUCGAGUUUUUCGCAGCCAAAAGCGGUAGUUCAUCCGCCUUUUCCGCCAUCUGCAGGAACAUCAAAUGCAUGAACAUAAGAGAUUUAUACAUGAGAUCGAUACCGAACGAAGCAUUCGAGUUUUCGUUCUGCUUCGGCUAAAAAUUCUUUGGAGAGGAACCAAACAUGCCUUAAAGUUAGUGAUUUGUGCUCUAAUACUAUCAUUUAGCAAUGAUGUGAUUAUAUAAAGUAAAAUGCGCAAAAUGUACUUGUGAUAUUGGCAAGGCACAAUCAGUGGACUUCUUAUUUUUCUCGCGAACCGAGAAGUAGGAGUAUAAGCCCAUGCCGAGAAUGGCGACGAGGAUGCCUAUGAUGUUCCGCGCGGUGAAGGGUUCGUGCAAGAGGAUGUAGCCAAAGGAAAGGACUAGGCAGGUCUUGAGGUGGCCGAGCACCUGGUACGUCACUGGCGACGUCGUUCCGAUCACUAGGAAUGUGCUGAAGUUCACCGACACCGCGAUCAAACAAGAUAGGACGAUGAAUCCCUACAAGUGAUUGGCGACAGAACGAAAAAGCAUUUGUGGUUGGUUAUCAAUUCGCAAUUGAGCAAUGAUUUGAACUAUUUCGUAGUGAAAUACAUACCAAAACUACAGGCGAGUAACUGUACGCGAAUACGUUGCGCUUGGUGAGGAGCUGGUCCACGAAUGGGCCAGUCGCGAACAAAAUAGCGGCUUGGUACGGUGCGGAUUGGUACAGGAGCUGCGUCGAAGAGACCUUCAACCUCUUCUGUAUUGUGUUUGUUAGCUUUGAUUUAAAUCGAUUUUAAGGUUAAGGGCUGUGCUAGAACUGGAGAUAUAAAACAUGUGUACAUUGAAUUUUCGAUGUUUCGAACAACAUAUAUGUAUGGUAAGAUAUCGAAGGAUACGAUUUGGCCAACGCAGGUUGUAGCGAUGGCGAGGAGGGAGAGAACGGAUCCGAGAAGAUUGAGCUUGAGAUCAGUAACAGACGCAACGCCGACUCCAAAGAGCAAGACCAGAAGAGAGUACUUGAUAUUCUGGCUGCAAGUUCAGCUUACUAUCAGUGGAUGAGUCUGACAUGUAUCAAUCGUGUGCGUAGAAAUUUUCUGUACAUUAUUGAUGUGACAAAAGAUUCAGCAGUCCUUCUGAAGUUAGGUGUGCAUUGUUGAUUGGACAUCAUACAUUUGAAAAAGGGUGAUACUUUUAACAUAGCUGCAGGUUUUGAUAUUUGAAGAUACAUUCAUUGAAUACGUCGCGAUGUUUUAAUGAAUCUAAUCUGUAAGUUUUGAUACUUGGGCUCGAGCUUAUAUUGAACCUAACCCCGACUAAUUUCGGUGGUAGGAAAACAAGUUCCGGCCCGGAGCGAUUUUGGAUGAAGUAGGUAGGUUUGGGUUAGGCCCAAAAACAACAGUAAAGAUGCAUGAUCAACUAAAUUUUAUAAGUUCUCUAUAGACAACCUGAAUGUUUUAUUCAGAAACAGAGUCUCCAACAGCACGGUGAACGGUAUGAUGGCCAAUUUCGUCAUCUGCGAGACAUGGUGGUGUUAUUAACCUAUCAGAAUUUACUACUGACAGAUAGAUACUUUGAAUUCGGGCGUAAACUAAUACCAAAAUAUCUGUAUAACCUGGUAGAAUCCUACGGAGUUGAAGCCCAAGCUGAGGUUGAGGAGGCCGAUGGAUGUGCCGUUGAGGAGCCCGAAUAGGACCACGGUUUGACCGUCUAGUGGUUUGGGCUCGAACAAGUGCAGCUGCUGCGCCACGUGGAGCGUGCAGAACGUCACCAUCAGGUGCCAGCUCGUCAGCGUGGUCGCUGUUUCAAAUUAUAAUUCGCCAUUCAGAAUUGGAUCAGAUAGAAUAAAAUAAAAACAUGAAUGCUUGGGACGAAUUGGCUUAUCUCUACUUACGUACCGAAAGGGAAGCCGAGAGAGCUCAUGAGGGCCUUGUUGCAGAUGACGAUGGCGACCGACGACGCGACGGAGAGCGCCAGCGACCCGACCAUGCCGAGUUGAAACCCCGACAUCGUCGCCGGCCAAGCGGGGUCUGCCGGUGCUUCUUCUCUUGAAGUUUUGCAGCUGCAGAGGUGCAAUAACAAUGUAGCCGACACAAUUGCAGUACACCAUCAAAAUACACCGAAUAAAUUCGCCUAAAAUGUUACCUUAAUAUUUCAGAAGCAGCUUCCUUUUAUACUAGAGAGAGAGAGAGAGAGAGGGAGAGUUUUUGGGAUUAUGUUGGAGUGAGCUCUUGUAGCAUUUUGCUUUCAAAGUUUUGGCACUGUUCCCAUCACUUUGGUUGCACUUACCUAAUCUAAUUAAAAAUAAGUCAAUUGCGUAAAAGUAUAUUAUGUAAAAGAUCGAUCUGAUAAAAACAAAUUAUAUAACUGGAAAGAUCCAAAAAAAAAAAAGAAAAAAAAGUUGACAACUUAAUGACUCAAGAUGCGAGUGUAAGAGUAUAGGAAUCGAUAGAUAUACUCUUGGGGCUAGUCCCGUUUUCUAUCGCGUCGAUCUUUUGCGUAACAUGGUAUCUGAACUCUGAACUCUGUAACGUGUUCUUCAUAUCCAGUAUAUGCGUGUAAAAUAUAUUUCUGAACUCUUUUUCUAUCAGAUUGAUCUUUCGGGUAACAUAAUUCACAAAUGUAUCAUUUAGGGUCUAGUGUCUUUGUAUGCAAGACAUGAUGGUGGAGUGGAAGUUUCAAACCCAAGUGUAGUAGAAUGCAAGCAAAGGCCAUGGCCCAAGAGCUCACUAAAUUAUGAGGGGUGGUUGGUGUAACUUAGAAUCCACUCAAUAUAUGUGAAAAACAAAUAACAUUAAUCCAAUCAUGCUUAGUUAGAAUCACUUUGUCUUUACAUGUUAUAAUUAACCACUUAAUCCCCUCUCUUAUACAUAUGCUAUUUUUUUUAAAUUUAUUUGAGUUUUUAUGCUCAACUCUAUUAGUCAUUAGCUGUUAAUUAGUCUAGUUUUAUUUGCUAACAAAUAAUUAAAAUUAUUAAACUUCGUGAAAUUACUGAUGAAUUUAAUAAACUUUUUAUUUUUUUUUGACUAAAAUUACUUAAUUCUAAUAAAUGAAGAAGUUAAGGUCGAGUCCCUUUCAUAAAAAUUAAAAUGGAGGGGGCCAUUUCACAAUGGGCUAUAGUUAGAGGGUCUCUAUACAUUUUCACUUGCCAAAGAUGGCAAAUUUUAUAUGACGUGUGGCGUGAUGAGAAAAUCCGAUAAAAUAAAUUUUAUAUUUAUUUUUUUAUUUGAUAUCAUGUUUUGAAUAUCUUAAUAAGUCAGUUAUAAUAUAUUUUUUAAUUACAAUCAUACUGAAAAAUAAAAAAAAUAUAUUUCUAUACACGUUCACUCGAAUUUUAUUUAAACAUGUCAAAAUAUCAUCACGUGAACACGAAUUUAGUACAAGUAUUAGAAUAUUCCUUAUUACUAACUCGUAACGAAAUAAAUUAUGUAUUUCAUUAAUUAUUUAUAAUUUUUGAUGUCAUGGUUACUAAGGCUUGUUUGGAAAAAUAUAUUGUUUGUUUCUGUACGUAAUAUUGCGUUCCAUAGAUCGCAAUGAGUCGGUUACGAUAUAUUUUUUGUGGUUCCAGCGGAAAACGCAGAAGCAUAUUCUUAUAUACUUUUACCUUAAUUCUAUUUUAUUUAAUAGCGUUUGAUAAAUCUCAAUACCAAACUAAGUCUAAGAAGAAAUAUUUUUAAUUCAAGACAAGGUCCCACUGGAAAAUAUGACAGUGUGUGAUCUCUUUUAUUACUUCUCAAUUGUUUCCAAAUCGAUUCAAUAUUGCUCAUGCUAGUUUGAUAUUAUCACAACAGAUAAAUAUCAAGAAUAGCAAUAUCAAUUCUCCUAGGCAAUAAAAAAAAGUACCAUUCUAUGUAGGCUUAAUGUUUUACGCUCAAGAUCUUUUCUUUUUUUUGAGAAAUAGGUAGCAAGCUACCUGCUUCAUUCAUUAAGCAAAAUGAAUUUAGCUUAUAAAUUGGAAGCAAGUAGGGCCUCCGAACCGAGCCGAUGGAAUAAGAGAAAACGAGAAAAAAAACCAGGUCCGUGUGACCAAACAAACAAGGGGAAAACAAAAUAAACAAAGGGGAAACAAAGGGCAAAACACGGGAGAGUAUCAAAGUGCUUCGUUCCAGGCUUCGAUCAAAACGGCGACACGUUCGAGUGCCCGAGAGACAUUGAGAGGUACGUCGCGGAAGCAAAUGUCGUUACGCUCCGUCCAGACAACCCACCAAAUUGCCGCCAACUUGGUUAAAAUUUUUGAUCUUCUUACGGCCUCGGGGAUGUCCGAGGUCUGAGUCCAUAGCUGACGUACAUCCCUCACAUCCGAAUCAGCCGCCACUAAUGCUCCUGCUUUAAAACGAAGAUAUCUGACGACGAUACAGUCGUGAAAUAGAUGGUCACAGGUUUCGGCUAGUAACACACAGAACCUACAGUGCUAAUCCACAAGGCACCCUCGGCGAAUCAGUCUGUCUACUGUAGGUAAUCUCUUUCGAAGUAGAAUCCAAAUAAAAACUUUGUGCUUGAGCGAGAUUUUUAACCUCCAUAGUUGAUCAUACAAAGUAUUAAUCUGUCCUCCGUCGGUGAUGAAUUCAUAAAGUGAUUUGACGGUAAAUUUUGGCUGGCGGUCCAAACGCUCAAAAUCUUAAUGAUCUAAACAUAAGUUAUGAUCUGCUCAUUCGUGCUUGGCUCAAUAUAGCUAGUAUAUAUAUAUAUAUAUUACAAACCAAAUAUAAAAAGACUUAUAUUUUGUCAAUUUUAAUUAUGAAAUUAAUAUUCUAAUCUUUUGGUUUUCUUUUAACUUUUUACCCAGCAAAAGGAAUGGCAAUAUAAUUUACUGUUUAUGAGCAAGUUCCUGUUCGGCUUGAUAAUAAAUAAGUCGAACACAAGUUAAAUUUUUCUGCUUAAUAUUUUAAUAAAUCAACUCAUGUUCGGUGUGUCAAGUGUCAACAGACCUAAUGCUACGUGGCAACAUCGUGGUCAUCUACAAUGUAGUGUCAUUAUGAAUUAUUUAUAAAAAGAACAGACACUUUACAACUUGCUAAAGCUAGCAUUCUAAGACUUGUUACAUGCAAACCAAAACCCUAAAACAGUGUAGAAUUUUCUACAGCUUUGCUUUGAUAGUGGAAAACUCUUCUUUCACUUUCUCUACAUGGUGGUAGCAAUUUCAAUAUUCCCCACUCAAUUUAUUUCCAUACCCUUUCUCACCUGAAAAAAAAAACAAAAAGAAAAAAGAAACAAGAAAAGAUAUAGCAAAGUGGAAAUGUCGGCAGGAAUAAAGUCCCAACUUUAUUCUUACUUAAUUUAUUCUUUUUUUUAUAUAUAUUUGAGAGUAACACCAAUGUUUUUGCACUCCCAUGUAUAUAUAUAUAAGUUUAAGUAGCUCAUGAGCUACUUAAAUAAUUCUCCAACACUCCAAAUCCCUCUAAAACUAUCCCAAUUAUUUCCAUCCUCUUCUUAUCAAGUUAUAAUAAUAAUAAUAAUAAUAGUUAUAAUAGUGCGCAUAUAAAGCGUGAAAAUGUCUUUAGUGUUGGUGAUUUCCUUGCCUUGUGUCAUCGUAGGUUUGAUCCUCUGUUUGUGCUGCUACAUGCUGGGCCGGUCCCGGGGCCGGUUUUAGACGGCGACGGCGACGGCGACAGUGACGGAGACCGCGACGGAGUUAUGGCCCUGGCCCGGCCCGAGAGCCUGCGGGCGUGCCGCGGCCGACCGUAGAAGAAGUGAAUGAUUUACAUGAUCAGUAAUGUAGUGUAUGGUAUAUAUACACAUGAAUAUGUGACAUGCAUUUUCUUGUGAAGUGCAUUGUUUUGUGUUUGUAUUUAUGGAUGUAAUGUGAGAGAAUGGUUUGGUUCUAUAAAUACCUGCAUGGAAUUUUCUUUUUUCUUUUUUUAAAUUUUUUUGGAUUGAGUGUCGUCUAAUGCUAGUAUGCAAAACGGAAUUGGAGCGAAAACAUGUAGAGUUGUUGUUCUCUGUUUUCUGAUGGGACACUGCCAAAUAUGUAUUAUAAUCAAAGAAAAGUGUGAUACGCAUAAAAUAUUUUCUCAUCGUACUUUUUCACUGUACUUGAUAUAAUCUCCAUGCAAUCUCAAAUGAAGCCUUAUUAGGCCGGGUUGGGCUCAGCAAACCGGAUUUCCUAAUUGGGCUAGGCCAGUGGGCCGGGUCCGGUUAUGAGAUUCGUGCUUUUGUUUCUCCAAAAUACUGUUUUUAUUAACAUAUAUAAUAUAUAGUGACAUGAAAACUAAUUAAUAGAAUUCGCAACAUGUAUGCUGAGAUCCGUAUAAAGAGUCUUUAAUACUGCUGUAAUAUGUCAACACAUUAAUAUAUAUAUAGAGAGAGUGUUAAAGCUGAAAUACUAUUAAAUAGUAUUUGAAUUUUUUUAGCCGUUAUAUUUAUAUUUUAAUUUACAAUUUUUUUACCUAAAGGUUAAAAAGUUGAUAGCGAAAUAGUCAAAAUACUAGUAGUAUUUCAGUUGAAUUAUAUAUAUAAGGAUAUUAAAAAAGGGGAAAACUUCAAAUACCACUUUAUAGUUUCGCACUUUUUUACUUUAAAAUUAUGUGGUUUAAAGUGUAUCAAUUUAGUAUCCUAUAGUUUCGCACUUUCUCAUGUUAGUAACCUGUCAUGUAAAGUGCAUCAAUUUAGUACCCUGUGGUUUCAUUUGUCUCUUUUCGUCAGCUCCUCUUAAUGUUUUGUUAAAUUAUAUACAAAAAACUUCGGGUACCCUACAUAGGUUUAUCGAAUAUUUGCUUCAGUACUCUUUAGUUUUAACUUUAUCACUGAUUUUUUUUCCUCCGUUAAUAUUUUGUUAAAUUAUAUCUAAAAAACUUCAGAUACCCUAUCUAGGUUUAUCGAAUAUUCAUUUUAGUAUCCUUUAAUUUUAAUUUUGUUACUGAUUUAACGAAAAAAAUUAGUGAAAUAGAUAAUAAAAAGAGAAAAAUAAAACCACAGGUGUGACACCCCAGUAGUCUUAUAUCAGAUAGUUAUGGCUAGAUGUGAGAGUAUGUAAGCUUAAUUGGGCUAGACGUAAUAACUGGGCUUAACCAUUUUAGGCCGAUGGUUUGGCCCAAUGAGUUAUUAUUGCUAGCGGAUCGGGUCGUUAUAUUUAGCGAGGCAAGUCUCAGUAUACUAAACGACAGGAGAUAAAACCUUGAUUGGACAAGUCUCACUUUAGUAUAGUUAUGGCUAGAUGUGGAAGUAUAAAAUCUUGAUUGGAUACAUUUUAAACCACAGAAUACUGAAAAUGUGAAAUCAUACGAGGUAUUUGAAAUUUACCCCAAAAAAAAUUACAAAUAUGUAAAAAUAAUAAAGAAAAAAUAAUGCAACGUGGUCGUUCGUAGCAUGGAGCCUACGUGAAAAGAUGACACAUCAAGUAACCUUUUAGGAUGCAAUAAGUGAUACACGACACGUAUAUAAUAUAAUAAUAUUGUAGAAGUUUCUACAACUUUUGAAUUAAUAAUGUGGCAAAAAAAUAACCUCUCAUAUGAUUAAUUAUUAAUUAAUUAAUUAAUUACCUAUCUCACUCAACAGUACUCUCUCCUCUCGCUUCUUCCUCAAUUCUCCUCGAUCAAUUCCCACUUUACAAAAAGAAAAAGAAGAAGAAGAAGAAGAAACAAAGAGAGAACUUGAUUCAGAUACCUUGUCAUGCACAAGAGGUAUGAAAAAAUUCCACUUUUUUUUUUUUUUUCGACCCGUCGAUUAUAGGUCCUUUUGAAAUUGAUCCUUCAAUUUCUUAUUUAUUUAUUUAUUUUUCCUUCCGAAGAUACCUGUAGGUUUGUGCAUGCACACAUAAAUUAGUGAGCACUCGAUUGAUUACUUAAUAUAUAUAUAUAUAUAUAUUUUAAUGCCUUAUUGAUUUUUUAUUUUGUUCUUAGUUUGAAUUAAUAUAUGUUGAACUGAAUAAUUUUAUUAGCUAUUAGUCGUUAAUUAUUAGUAUUUUUUCGUUGAAAAAUUGAUUAAAAUUAUUGAAUUCUAUGUAAUUUUAAAUUUAAUUAAUUAAUUAAUUAAAGUUGUUUGAAUUGAAUAAAAAAAAGUACACACACACACACGAAUCUCGUACAAUUUUUUAUUUUAAUUAUUAUCAUCAUUACCUGAAGCUAAAUUCCCGCAAAAAUAUACAAUAAUUAAUGGAUAUUUUGGGGGGAUUUAAUUUAAUUACUGGAGUAAAACAAAAAAAACAAAUCCAAUUUAAGUUAUUGUGAGUUAUUAUUAUGAAUUUAUUCGUGCAGGGAAUAGUAGUUACUUAAUUAUCCGGGGAGGAUCAAUCAAUAAUAUGGGAUUCGUGUUGGUGAUAUCCCUACCAUGCAUUAUUCUCCUGUUGAUCAUCGCGCUCGCUUGUUAUCUUCUGGGCAGGUCACGGGGUCGAUUUUAGAACACAAAAUAAAAUAAAAUAAAAAUUAGAACUAAUUAUUGGGCCUCGGCCCAUUAACCUUGGCCCAAAUAAUUAGGUCCAGUUAGGAUUUUGUAAUUUUGUGAUGUGUAAAUUUGUAUUUACUUAAUUAGUGAAGUUUAUUUAAUUUGCUUUGAUGUCAAUUUAAUUAGUACCAAGUUGUGCAUUGUAAAGUGUGUUUUUUUCUUUAAUUGCAAGUUAGAAGCUCGAUUCUUGAAAUAUCACAAUAGUUGUAAUUAUUCAGUAUAAGUAUAUUUUACUUAUAAAAUGAUUUAUCCUACUCGGAAAAAAUGACUUGGAGGAGCUUUUAUUAAGAGCAAUAGUUUAAGGACUACAGUUACUUAAUCUUCCCCCCCCCCCCCCCAAAAAAAGUGAUUUUACUGCUCAACCUUUCAAUUUAUUUAAUUUGCGUUAGUCAACGGCACUUGACUUUAAAAUUUGAAUGCUUUGUUUAUCUUUACAUAUUUAGUUAGUAUACUUUAUAAAAUUUUCCGCAAGUAUAAAUUGAUUAAAGUAAAAAAUUAGUUUAAAAUUUUGAAGUUAAGUUGCUUUUGGUCGACUCAAAUUAAACAAAUUGAAAAGUUGGACAGUGAAAUUUGAAAGAUUAAAUACAUAUUGUAUAUUUGAAAUGAUGUACAGUACAGAUAAAUUUUAUACAUUUUUAUCUCUUUAUAUUUUGUACACCCUCAUCCCCCUAAAAUUAAAAUAAUAAGAGAAAAUAAAAAAGGGUGCACCAUUGGGUUGUGUGGAACAUGUAGAGCUCACAUAGUUUGUCAUGUUGUAAUACAAAUGCAAUGUGAGGUGAUUUAAUUAGUGUAUACAUAGUUACAUACUCCAAUGGAGAGAGAGAUUGGUGAAGCAUGUCACAUGUGGGUCUCUUAUCACCACCUCUCUCUUUUGACACAUGUGGUGUAACAUGAGGACAUCUUGCUAUCAGAGUUUUAAAGUUAUUUUCAAUUUUCAAAACUAUAUUUAAUUUCGAUCAUUAGGGACCAACAUGAACAAGAAAUUGCAAUUUUGAAGGAAUUGGAGGAAAAAAUUAAAGGAAAAGAAAAACCAAGAUAUUGAAGGGGCAUUUGUGUACAUAAAUUAAUCAAGCUGAAUUUUCAAAAGACAAACAAUAAGUUACAUUUUAUGAAGGGUAUAUUGCACAAAGAUAGUUUUAAGGACACCAUUAUGAAGUUUGGAAGAAACUAUUUGUAACAAGCUAAUGCACCAGUACUAAUAAUUUGUUGGGCUAAAACUUUCGACCUAAAAUAUAUACCUAAAAAAUUUAGUUAUUACUAGUAGGAUUUCCGGUCCUUAUAUUUUCAACAUAAUUUUUUUUUUUUUCAUCCGAUGUUAGAUUAUUGGAGCGUUACAGGCUUUUCCUAUUUAAACCAUAACGCUCUCGUUAGGACCAAAUCUAAUCACACGUAUAGACCAGAAUCACACAUGUGGACCUACCCCGGUUUCAAGAUUGGCUCCCUCUUAACACGUGGUAUAGUAUUUUGUCCUACGUAGCACUUAGCUUUUACACUUUCGCAUGAUAUUCAUCUCUGAUAUUAAAUAUAACGACUCGAUUUACUAACAAUAAUAACUCGUUAGGUCCAAACCAUUGGCUUAAAUUGCUUAAGCCCAACUACUAGCUACUACUAGGAUUUUCGAUCUUUAUAUUUUUAAUUAUAAAUUCUUUUCCAUUUGAUGUAGAGUUGUUGGUGUGUUACAUUACAUAAAAAAUACACUAAUAUACUACACUUUUUUUGGGAUGUUUUCAGGGCGGGCGGGGCAGGGGGGAAGCACACAUAAAGACUUUUGAAUUUUUAACAUUGGUAAUUAAACUCCUAAAGUUUAUUAAAUAGUUCAAAAGGCUCUAAUUUCAAAUCGAAAUAACUAAUUAUAUAGCUGUUUUGAUCACAUGUCUAGUAUAUAUUCUUAUAAAGCUUUAAAACAUCAGGACAUUCUGCUCUGAUACCGUUUGAAAUUAAGUAAAAUAUCAAUUUAUCUCCAAAAAUCUUAAGCUUUAAUGGAGAAGGGUGUUUUAAUAUAUAUCUCCACUUGAGCAUAUCUUAGUCAUUAGCAAACAGAUUGGUUGGUGGAUGUUCUCCCACACAUGUUAUCUAACUUCCACUUGGUUCAACAUUGCCAAAUGAAUCAACCUGCCUCAACCUAACAGUUUUAAUUUAAUUUGGUGGUAGGUCACCAAAGGAGUUGAAUAUUACACUUCCACAAAGAAAUUAAUGGUUAGGUAACUUACAUGCAUGGUCAUGUUCAACUUCAUCAACUGCACAUUUUAUAUUUUUUUUGAGAAAAAGAUAGUAAGCUACCUGCGUCAUUCAUUAAGCGUGAUGAACUAAGUAAACAAGAUGGAAGCAUCUAGGGCCUCCUAGAAAAGCCGAAAAAACCAAAGAAAUCAAAACAAAAGGCCAAAAAUAAACAUGUAAAAGGAAAACAAAAGGACGUAGCUAGGGCAGGUGUUAUCGUGAGUCACAUAACGUCAGUCUAGUCCUUCGACAAAGACUCAACGCGAACAGUGGCCCGACUUGCGUUGGGAGGCAUCUCACGAAAGAUAGUGUUGUUGCGCUCGGUCCAGACAACCCACCAGAUCGCCACCAAUCGUGAUAAGCUCUUCACUCUCGACACGGCAUUGGGGUUGCAAGAUAUCUCUUUCCAUAGACGCCGAACAUCCCCCGAGUACACUUCGCUCGCCUCUGUGCCUCCCCUGCACAUUUUAUAUUAAACAUCUAAAUAUAGGUUUAGUAUAUGGAUUCCAAUUAAAUAAGAGGACGUGUACGCACUUUUCUAUUCUAAUACCAUAUAAAAUAAUUAAUGUUUUUAUAAAGUAUUUAAGAUAUCAUCAUUGGAUGUGCUGUGCUUCACUAACAGCACCACAUAUCUAGCUUAGUGGUUUUGUAGUCCAUCACUUUAGGCUCUAAGCCAAAUUUGUCAAUUUGGUACCAUUGUGCAACAUAUCUAUGCAUGGGUUGGAUAUUAUUAUGUAUAUAAAAAGGAAAACAAAAAAAUAUCUAUGGUUUUAAAUCUUUGGUAUACUAAUGUGGGAAUUUGUUGAAUUGAAACAUUUUUAACAUUUUCUGCAUUUUAAUUAGUCGAAUCUUUAGCCAGUUAUGGAAGAGAAGAUCAGGCAGAUGAGUCAUCGACAUCAGAGAUGAUUUACUCUCUAUUCCAUCUUUGCAGCAGAUGCCAACCGCAUUAUAAGUUGCAAUUUUAUCCGGAUUUAAAAUUUUCUAUCAUUCAAAAAGUGGUCAAUCACCAGGUGGUGCAUGGUCAACGACUGAAUAUAAUUCUCUGAUAAUAACUCCUUAAAAAAAGGUUAUUUGUCGUGAAUUGUCAUCUUCUUACAAGAAAAUGAUGGGCAAAAUCACUAUCCUAGAGUUUAAUAACAAGUGAAAAAGUGCUUCUUUAUAACAUUUUGAAUGCUAAGGCUUUGUAUUUUAAUAUAUUGCCAUAUUGGUGAACAACAUAUAAUGAAAGCAUCCAUGUUGUUUUUUAUUUACAAAGCAAAUCACUUCUACAAGAAAAGGUAUAACAUAACAAUAUAUAAUUGCAAAAUAAUGAUACAUGGAAAAAUGCAUUAAGUUUAUGGGUCUCUAUAUGUGAGUGUUCCUAUGAUUGUGACUCUUAUUUGUUUGAGAUUACAGGUGUAGAGAUUGUGCAAGAGAUUUGAUCAUGCAUUAAUUUAACUUUAAUCCACAUGCUUGGAUAAUAAUUAAGAAGCAAAUCAUGUGUGCCAUCCUUGGUAUAUUUUAUUUUAUUUUAGUUCAUAUUUUUUUGACAAAGCAAGUAACUCAGAAAAUGCAAAACCAUGUGAUUUUGAAUAAAUAAAAGGUGAAUUUCUUAACCUCAAAAAGUAUAACUUGGUCGUAAAGUGAUUCAUAGUCACGUGUUGGGGUAAAAAAUAAACCAAUGAAUUAUAUUACGUGCACACGCUAAUAAGCAGAGUAGAUAAAGAAUAAGAAUUUGAAAUGUUAAGCAUUGGGUACGAGGAGAGUUUUAAGUCGAAAUCUCUUAGAAUUGAGAGGUUUUAGACUAAAUCUAUUACAGAUACUCUAUAUGUUUUUCAAAAGAUUAGUCUGAUAGAAAACGGUCAAAAAAUAGCCUUAAAAGCAAAUUUAUGGAUUCUAACCUAAUUGUUGACGAAUAUAUCAACCAAGAAUCGUUUACUCCAAAAGUGAUUCUUAGGUCGCUAUUACUACCUCAUAAAGCAUUAAGUUAAAGCUUUUUGUGGGAUAAAAUAAAAUCACUUUUUGACCACAACAAUUACAAUUUCAAAGAUAAGGCUAAUCAAAUAUAAACAAGAUCAAUGAAGUAAAAUUGGACAUUUUAUUUUAUUUUGUGUUUUAUUUGCACCUAUUUCAGUUGCAUUAAUUAUUGACUCAUUAGGAAAUUAUUGGCUAAUUAAUUAUUUACCUAGUUAAUACAUUAGCAUGAAGGGAGCAUGACAAUAGCAAGUAAAAAAGUCUCAAAUAAAAUUUGUCGUAUUUCUAACACAAAAAAAAUCAUUAAUAGGAAUCUUUCAUUUUUUUUUAAUUAAAAAUAGGAUUUGUUGUAGUAUUUAAUUCUAACAAAACUAUGAAAAUUAAUAUUUAUAUCGGUUUUUUGCACCAUUAAUCUCUUACUUUUUUUUUCGAUUCUUUUAUUUUUUUUCUUGCAAUUAGAUUCUUAAUCUUUAAAAUUAAUUAUACCAUAGUCCCCCAACUUUUAUCCUUCUUUGCACUUUGGUCCCUGAUCUCUCCGCUAAUAUGCGCGCCAAAAAUUGUCUCAACCGCUGCAAAUAAUUUUUUGGAACGUUCGAUGUUGACAUUGAGUUUUUUAAAAAAAGUUAAAUAUUCGAGGGCUAGCGAAUUUUGCUGAUUAAAAUCAAAUUGAAAUUGAAUAUUAUAAAGAUUAUUUUUUUAAAAAAAAAGAAAACAAAGGGUUAGAUACCGAAGUAUAAAAAUGUAAAAGCUAGGGACAAUGGUGCAAUUAAUUUCUCUUUCGGAGUUUGGACGUACGCUGAGGACAAAAUUUGAAUUCAAAAUUUGAAGGAGUAAAAUGAAAAAGUGUUUGAGCGAGUAAAAACGUUCUCUCUCUCUCUUCUCACCAACCACGGGACUUGCACUACUGCCACGUGUCGACAUCUUAUUCCCUGAACGCUUCAGAUCGGACGGCCCAAAUCAUUUUCAAACCAACCCGCACUUUGACCUGGUGACCUCCCUUCGCGCUAGAAUCUAUUGCGUGGACCCGGUGUACCGUGCGCACCCUUUCAUUCCUAAAACCAAUUAUGAAUGUUACAUCAAAGUGAAGUAUCUAAUUUAUUUCGUAUAACUAUUAUGUUUACGCUUUUAAAUGUUUUAGAUUUUAUGUAUUAGAACUAUAUUUUAAAAAAAAAAAUCAAACUUUAUAAUACUGCGACAUAAUUUACUUAAAUAUUUUAGAAGCAAAUAAUUUUUUAAUAAUUAUUAUAAAAUUCAAAUAGUAUAAAUCGUGCUUGAGUCGAUUCGAACACUCAUUCACAACUUUGCGCAGAUAUAUAAAAUUAAUAUAAGUCUAAUCAAACGUGGCCAGUGGUGCACAAGGUGGCAUCUUAGAUACUUCCAGUACCCAAUGAGAAACUGCCACGUGGCGGUAAGUAAAACCCCCGGAACUCCACCCCAGAACCACCCCCCCUCUCUCUCUCUCUCUCUCUCCCUAUUUAAACCCCACUUCCUUUUCUCUCCAUCCACGCGUUUAGUGGAAAGUCUCAGUAUCGAAAACGACUUACUGUCUUGAUGGAGUGCGACGCUAACGGAGUCGUGACGGAUCCGUUAGGGUGGGCGGCGGCGGCGGCGGCGGCUGCGGAGAGUGGGAGCCACCUGGAGGAGGUGAAGCGAAUGGUCGAGGAGUUCCGUGCGCCGGCGGUGACGCUGAAAGGAGUGGAAUUGAAGAUAUCGCAGGUGGCGGCGGUGGCGAUGGCGAAGGCGGUGGCGCCGGGGGUGAGGGUGGAGUUGGCGGAGGCGGCGAGAGGCGGAGUGGAGGCGAGCAGCGAGUGGGUGAUGGAGAGCAUGGCCCGGGGGACGGAUAGUUAUGGGGUCACCACCGGGUUCGGCGCGACCUCGCACCGGAGGACCAAGCAAGGCGGCGCGCUGCAGAAGGAGCUUAUCAGGUACAGCUGAUUAGUCAAAUUAUUAUUUUUUAUUUUCUCGCCAGCUUUGUAGGUAAUUAUAAUUAGCCCGACUUUUUGAUUUUUAAACAUCAAUUUUAUAGAGGGCCAAAAAAAAUACAUUGGGCAGACAAAGAAAUUAAUGUCUACAGACAACGCAUCAGCACAUCUCAUCUUGUGUUUUAAUCAACACUAUCCAAUUAUGAAUGAAAGUUAUUAACAACUUUUGGUAAAAUAUGGUGUAUGAAUAUACAUAUGUAUGAAUAUACGUACAUAUGCACGACAAUAAUAUUUUUAUUUUUUAAGAAAUUAAAAAAAUUUCUAACGGGUGACCAACUACCCACUCAACCCUAGAGGGCCCACAUCAUCCUAACCGCAUAUCUCUUAAUUCAAUGGCUAAAAAUCUACAAGAUAUAUAUAUACUAAUAAUAGGCAUGAGAAUGUUUAAAUCUAAAGAAAUAUGAAUAUAUAAAAGCUGAUAAUUUAUUUCUCUACGCCCCAAUCUUACUAUUACCAGGGGAUCCAACUCAGCCACCAACCAACUUAUCAUAUUAGAUUAUCUAUUUUUAUUAAUUUUCUCAUCUAAAUUGCCAGCUUUUAAAGAUCCAUGUUUUUUUAAAUAUGAGUAUCUACAUACCAUCAGCUUGAGAACGAGGAUUAUCUUAUAUUCUGGAAGAGAGAGAGAGAGAGAGAAAUAUAUAUAUAUAUAUAUAUAUAUAUAUAUAUAUAUCUAUAUCUAUCUAUCUUAACUCGAAGAUACGAAAAUUUUCAUGGUUCUGUAACCAUNAGGAGUUCCGUGCGCCGACAGUGACGCUGAAAGGAGUGGAAUUGAAGAUAUCGCAGGUGGCGGCGGUGGCGAUGGCAAAGGCGGUGGCCCCGGGGGUGAGGGUGGAGUUGGCAGAGGCGGCGAGAGGCGGAGUGGAGGCGAGCAGCGAGUGGGUGAUGGAGAGCAUGGCCCGGGGGACGGAUAGUUAUGGGGUCACCACCGGAUUUGGCGCGACCUCGCACCGGAGGACCAAACAAGGCGGCGCGCUGCAGAAGGAGCUCAUUAGGUACAGCUGAUCAGUCAGAUUUUUAUUCUUUUAUUUUUUUGCCAGUUUUAUAAGUAUUUAUAAUUAGUGUGACUUUUUGUUUUUUAAACUUAAAUUUUAUAGAGGGCAAAAAAAGUAAAUUGGGGCAUGCAGACAAAGAAAUUAAUGUCUACAGACAACGCAGCAGUACAUCUCAUCUUGAGUUUAAAUCAACACUAUCCAAUUAUGAAUGAAAGUUAUUAAAUAACUUUUGGUAAAAUAUGGUGUAUGAAUAUACAUAUGCAUGACAAUAAUAUUUUUAUUUUUUAACGGGUGACCAAUAUAUAUAUAUAUAUAUAUAUAUAUAUAUAUAUAUAAAGGGAGAGAGAAAGAGAGAGUAGGUCUUGUGUUCUUUUAGGAGCACGAAUUCGAUUACUAUACACUUAUGAAUAUAAUUUUUUUUGUAUUCAUAAAUUUUUGACCGUUAAAUCUAUUCUUUUAAUCAUGUUUAUCUAUUAGAUCAUACUAUUCAAUUAAUCACCUACUCAAUUCUAGUGGACCACUAUCAUUCUAACCGCAUAUCUCUUUAUUCAAUAGUCGAAAAUAUAAAGUAUAAAGAUGUCUAAAUUUAUAAGAGUAUAAUAAUCCUAUAUAUAUAUAUAUAUAUAUAUAUAUAAAAUUAAGUUAUUAAUUUGCUCGAUUUGUACUUUCUCUAAAGGUCAACCAGCCAAAACCGAACCGAAGAAUGAGUUGCAUGAGUAGGAAAUACCGAAAUAGCGAACGUCACGGACUCCAAUAAGAGUACUCAUUUUGUGCUUUUAGCUAUAUAGUCUUUUAUAACAAAAUAAUAUGUAUAUAACUAAGUUAAUAGUCAAAUAAGUCUGUAUCUAAAGUUAUUAGCAUGUAGGCCUCAUAUAAAUUGAUCGGAAUCAGUAUUUUAUCCGAUAUGAAAGUAUUGAGAGUGUUACACAUAUAUACAGUAUAUACUAGUGAUUAUAAAAAGUCGCAUAAGAUAUAUAACUAAGAUACUAAAAGGAACAAAUUUAUCUAUCAGGUCAGUAUUAAAGGAGGUGGCUUCAUGUGUUUUUUGGGGAGAUGAUAAAGGCAAAAUCCGCAUGAAAAUUAAGAAGUAUCAAAUAAUAAUAAUAAUGGGAAUUAAAUGACAAAUAUAGAUGUAAAUGUCAACAAUAAAUAGUAAAAAAAAGAAAAAGAGAAGUGCAAUUAAUUGGAAUAAUUUCCUUACCUACAUUGGUGGCACGUCAUGGAUCUUGUAUCCAUCCUUAAUUUGUUCUUGUCCUUUUCCAUGAGUUAGUCUUAUGCAUUUUUUGGAAAUUUUUAAAAAGAAUAUAUAUAUAUAUAUAUAUAGAGAGAGAGAGAGAGAGAGAGAGCAGGACUGCUGCGCUCUCAGGAGCUGUUUUCGAUAAUGGAAUUUUCGAAUCGACGAUCGGCUCCGUUAGACUUGAUCUAGCGUAUUUGAAGUUUCUAGAAAAUAAUUUUUGCGGUUUUUCGAUAUUAUUUAUCUAGCAAUCGAAAGGAUUCAAAAUCAAUAAUUUUUAACGGCUGAAAAUAAAAAUCCUAUAAAAAGUGGUGAUAUAGCACUAAAAUUUUCUAUCAGAAAUAUUGAUCUUGUUGUAGAUAGUAUAAAGAAUUUUGUAUCAAAAUUUUAUCUGAUUUAAAUACUUCUACACCGUUAAACUUGAAAAUAGCAGAUAUCAACCAUUAAAAAUUAUUGAUUUUGAAUCUUUUCGAUGACUAGGUAAAUGAUAUCCAAAAAUUGCAAAAAUUAUUUUCUAGAAUUUCAAAUACCCUAGAUCAAGUCUAAUGGAGUCGAUCGUCGAUUCGAAAAUUCUAUCAUCGAAAACGGCUCAGGAGUACGGCCUGCUCCUAAGA
rnacentral:lncRNA from 1 species